UACGUAGGGUGCGAGCGUUGUCCGGAAUUAUUGGGCGUAAAGGGCUCGUAGGCGGUUUGUCGCGUCGGGAGUGAAAACUCAGGGCUUAACCCUGAGCCUGCUUCCGAUACGGGCAGACUAGAGGUAUGCAGGGGAGAACGGAAUUCCUGGUGUAGCAGUGAAAUGCGCAGAUAUCAGGAGGAACACCGGUGGCGAAGGCGGCUUUCUGGCCGAGUACUGACGCUGAGGCACGAAAGCGUGGGGAGCAAACGGG
rnacentral:rRNA from 1 species